GCGUCGGUGGUUUAGUGGUAAAAUCUGUCGUUGCCAAGUCGGUCACAUGGCCUGACGCAACUUCGACAGGCCCCGGGUUCGAUUCCCGGCCGACGCA
rfam:Sporothrix schenckii ATCC 58251 unplaced genomic scaffold supercont1.9, whole genome shotgun sequence.